GAACACAUGCGAUCGCACCAAAGUGGGUAUCAGAGGUAAAAGCCCCAUCAAUAUUCGCCUUAAAACUGCCUUGGUCUGGUGGAGUCCAAAGCCAAUUAGGGUUGGGAAGAGCAAAGUCCGAAAUGGCCGAUUGCUGUGAGGAAUUCCGGUAUAGCAUUGCGUCUGCGAGGGCUGCUUCUACAAGUUGAUCGGGAUCUGUUCGCUGCCGCCGAAAAAUAAAAUGAUUGCGCGAUUUCCAGAUCUGCCAGAGGAUAGAAGCAACGAUCUCUUUGGAAGAUGAGAUGGUCAGCUGAAGGAGCAUGACUUAAUGGAAUAGUGAGUAUCUCCUCAACAAUAUGCCGGUCAAAAUGCUGAUGAAGAAGAGAAAGAUUCCAAACCUGAGCAGGAGAGGUUAUGAAGCCAGCAACUAGAUGAGAUUCUGAUCGAGGUGCUGGUCCACCUAUUAUGCCAGAGGUAGACUUGCUGCUGGUUGUUGCUGUGAUUCUGAAGGGAUUUACUCCACUUGGCAAGAGCAAAUGAAGUACGUUGUAGCUUGUUAGUUAAUGAUUGAGGUCGCAUUGCUGAUGAAGUCCAUACAUUGUUGAUGAUUGAUUGACAAGCUUUCUCUUGCAGCCAGAAAGCUUCAAAACAGAAAGUUUUCUUCCUUUUAAAAGAGUGCGGUUCAGUGAGUAAAAGCAGAGGACUAUGAUCAGAGGCUAAAGGAGGAAAAGCGAAGACUUCUGCCCCCGGUGAUAAAGGAUAUCAUUAUAAUCGCCAAUACACACCCAUGGAAAGGAACUUGAAGUUCGAAUCUGUCUGAUAUCUGCCCAGACUUGCUGUCUAUGAUGGAAUAUGGAAGCGCAUAAAGACAGGUCGACUGGAGGAGAAGGCUGCAGAAUGAUUGAUGAAUGUUCUGCUGUAUUUUCCACUAUUGCCGAAGGCUGCUAAGGAGACGGAGGAGCUGGAAGGAGUAAUGGAGGUAGCUGCUGUUGAGUUUCUGUUUCUCUGGCGGUACGUCAUCUUCCCAAAUGUCAACGCCAUGGUCAGGCCAAAGUCGGCCAAGUCGAUGACAGAGAGCAGCAACCCGAGCAUCAUCGUGGUGAGUAGAUUCGGCCAUGGAAAUU